GGCCUAUAGCGAUUUUGACAUAUUGCGUCCUUUCUUAAGAACGAGGCAAGAACAUAUUAUUUCCACAUAUUGCAUGAAUGUUUUGACACAUAUAAGAACGAGUAAAUUGUAUGUAUGUUGACAAGCAACAGCAUAUUGUACUGAUCUAUUGCGUCGUUUCUUAAGAACGAAGCAACGACAUAUUAUAUUGAUUUAAAAAACUCAUUAAUAAUUCAGGAGCAAAACACAAAGAAAAAUCAUAAGCGUGUCGUGGUUUUAUAUGUGAUAAAAAAUCACGUUAAUUUACAUAAACUUUAGCUUUGAUUUUCUCGGUUUAGACAAAGUUUAUUUUAAAAAUUUCUUCGCCAAUGAACUCGUAUAAGAUGAGUCGUUUUUUAAGCUAUUUAAAGCACUUGUAGUCGUGUUUUAUCACAUAUAAAACACUCCGCUACGCGUCGUGUUUUAUAUGUGAUACUUCACUCCUACGCGUGCUUUAAAUAGUACAUAUUGCGUGAAUUUUUUUACAAGCAACAACAUAAAUUAUAUUUAUAUAUUGCGUCUGUCUUAUGGACGAGGCAACAACAUAUUAUAUUGAUAUAUUGCGUCUGUCUUAUGGACGAGGCAACAACAUAUUAUAUUGAUAUAUUGCGUCGUUUCUUAAGAACGAAGCAACGACAUAUUAUAUUGAUAUAUGGCGUGAAUUUUUUGACAAGCAACAACAAAUAUCAUAUUGAUAUAUUGCGUCUGUCUUAAGGACGAGGCAACAACAUAUUAUAUUGAUAUAUUGCGUCGUUUCUUAAGAACGAAGCAACGACAUAUUAUAUUGAUAUAUUUCGUCAUUUGCGUGAAUUUUUAGACAUAUCAAGAACGAGUAUUUAAAUUGUAUGUAUAUGGAGCUGUGUAUGGAGCUGCUCGAAACAUGAAACGGUGUUGUGUGCUCGCUCAGACGGAUCGUAAACUCAAGAUUUUUCGUCCGUACCAUCGGCCGUACGAAUCGUACGGAUGGUAAUGUCUUUCGUGGGGUGCAUGCAGGAUGCGCAGCAUGAUGCAAUUAUUUAGAUCAGACCACGUGAUGGAAAGGAAGUCACGAAACGAAAAUAUAGGUUACGGAUGGUAAAUAAUUUUGUCCAUCCGUAUACAUGCGGCAGUAUUGGACAUGUAUGCCCGUGGAUUGGCGUAAGCGUGGAUUGGCGUGAGCGAGUUAAAAUUUUCGUGGACGUAAAACAAUAAGGGAAACGACUAGAGUUACGCUUCUGCUAUACCUUCUUAUUCUGUGACCUCGAGGAGUGAGCUAUUGUGAUUAAUACGGUGUUUUCAACUGUUUUGUUCUGUUAUCUCGCAAUAGAGGAACAAAUCAAGUCAAAUAUGGUAUUUUAAGCAAAAGCACAUGUUCAAGAAUGUUGGGGACCUCUUUUACAUUCAAAUGAACUCAAUCGUAAAGAAACGUGUCUAUAUUUUUGACGACGUUUCUGAGUGCGACUGAUAUGAAUCAUGAAUACAGUCGUGACAACACCUUUAAAAUGGGAAUUUCUGAUAGAGAUCGGUGAAUUAUACCAUAAGUUAACACAUGAGAAAUGAGGAAAUUGGUCAUGAACUUUAUUGUUUUGGAAAUGGUGAAUUUUAAUAUGGACAAGAUCAUAAUAUACUCAUAUCACCGCAAACAAAUUUAUGUCGCUUGUGGGAUUUGUUAAAGGAACAAAUGAUUCAGGAUGGUAGAAAAAAUAGCAGGUGCGUUGUAGUGACCUUAUUUAUGUUAAUGGUGGGUGCUUAAACGCAAUGUCUUGUGAGAAUAUAUACCAUACCAUCCCUGCUUGUGUAAUAUGUACUUCGUUAUUAAAGUCAUAGUCAUGAUUAAUUAUCACUCUUCUGAGAAGACCUCAAUGGUGUUUUAUUCCAAAUUAAGAAGCAGAUUAAAAUUAAUAAAUUUGAAAGAAAUUGAAAGUUGUAAAAUAAUGGUAUCUCAUUUCUGUGCUUUUUAGAUCCUAUAGAGACAGUAUAAAGUGAAGAUGGAACAAUGUUGCAAACAGUUACUUUCAGUUGCAUGUCUAUAUAUGCAUUAAUUAUAUGGAAUUGUAUAAAAACAAUUUAAUUGUAAAGGGUCUCUAGUAUUAUAGGAUCUGUGUGAAAUUCCAGUAGUUUGUUGCCAAAUACUCAUUUAGUGUGUUUUGCCAAAUAAAGUUUAACUGCCUCGUAUGAGGUAAAAAUGGUUGUAACAAAAUGCAGGUUGAAAUCAAGCCUUCAAAAGCAUUUAAACCCGCAUUAAUAUUUGCUCUAUCUAGUGCCAGAUGAUUUUACUCAUUAGUUAAUUUCUGUAAUACUGCAAGUGAACUGUUUAACAGAAGUCAUCUAUCUGUAUACAUGGUCAUUACUCAACUGUUGUCACUGCUUUGUUUUUAGGAGCCAACCAUUUAACUUUUGAGGGGGGGGGGGGUGAUUUUGAAAAAAAAUUUCCUGCAAGGCUAUUCUGAACAAAAAAAAUACCUGCACUAACAAACUGAGGGAAAAAAUAUCCUGCCUGGCAUUAUUUGGUGGGGAAAAAAUGUUGCAAAACACCAUGGUUGCAAGGAUCAAUUUGACCAAUCACAGAAGAUCAGCUGGUUUGAUUUUCAGGGACUAGUGUAAGGUUAAUAUCUUGUUGGAAAACUCCUCAAAGUGAGCUUCAAGAAAUCCAGGCAUGCGCCCAGAGGGAGGGGGCAUGCCCCCAGACCCCUCUAGAGGCUCCCACCUUUGGUGGUCGACUCGGUUGUCUCAGAAUUCUAGGUAUGGCCUGAUCUGCUGCCCUAUGGCACAUACUUAUUAGUUAAACCAUGCAUACAUAUGUUGCAGGUAGCUGCAGCGACACAGACUUGCCGACUGGGUCAUCUCCCCGUCCCCCGCUAAAUAUGUCCCUUCCAGUUGCACAUCCUUACAGGGCCGUAGCAACAGGGGGGGGCAGCCCCUCCCCCCUUCCCCAAUAAUUUGCUAAUAAUCAUUUUUUUUCCAAAUCAUGCAGACCUUUAUCAUUUAAUCCAUGACAAACUGCAAAGAAUGAAGAUAUUACCCAUACUUUCCUGCAACUUAUCCAAUAUAUAGUUAAUUAAAUACGCCUUUGUCCAUUUAGUACUACUAAAUUGUCAAUUUGAACAUACUAAAACGCUGCUUUCUGACCAUCAGAAUUCUGUCAAAUCUUCCCCAAAGUCCAGGAAGUGGCAUUUCAUAGACUUUACAUUUAAAAAUUUCCUUGGUCUUUCGGCCCUCGCAUUCAGCCCCCCGAAUCGAAAAGAGCUUCCUAUGGCCCUGCCUUAAAAGAGGCCCUGAACCAAAUGUUAUACCUCAUAGCAAUAUGUAUUAUUAAAAGCAAUGCAUGAAGCUAGAAAACUCAACGUUAACUAUAAUUAAAGAAUCUAAAUAGUGUAAGCUAUUGAAAAA
rnacentral:lncRNA from 1 species